rnacentral:rRNA from 1 species
UACGUAGGGCGCAAGCGUUGUCCGGAAUUAUUGGGCGUAAAGAGCUCGUAGGCGGCUUGUCACGUCGGGUGUGAAAGCCCGGGGCUUAACCCCGGGUCUGCAUUCGAUACGGGCAGGCUAGAGUGUGGUAGGGGAGAUCGGAAUUCCUGGUGUAGCGGUGAAAUGCGUAGAUAUCGGGAGGAACACCAGUGGCGAAGGCGGUUGCCUGGGGCUUUGCUGACGCUGAUGCGCGAAAGCGUGGGGAGCGAUCCGG